ACGGGGGCGGCCGCAGGACACGCAAGUACAGUCGCGGGUUGACAUUUGAGAUUCUCUUCUAUGCCAUUUGUUUCUGACCUAAAUAAUACUCCGGAAAGCGGUGUAGGGGGCCGGGAGGUGGUGCACCGGGUUAAGUGUACAUAGCCUGAAGCAUAAGGACAAACGCGAGGAUCCCAGUUCGAGCCCCCAUAUCCCCACCUUCACAAGCAGUCUCUUCUUAGGUGAAUAUUCAGUUCAUAUCCUCUCCCCACUUUGGGAUGGCUUUCAACUUUUUUAUAAUAAGAAACGGAGAGAACUUGAGAGGAAAGGAGAAGGAAGAGGAGGAGGAAGAGAAGGAGAAGAAGGAGAAGGGGAAGAAAGAGAAGAAGAAAAAGAAAAAGGAGGAGGAAGAGAAGGAGAAGAAGGAGGAGGAGAAGGAGAAGGAGGAGGAAGAGAAGGGGAAGGGGAAGAAAGAGAAGAAGAAAAAGAAAAAGGAGGAGGAAGAGAAGGAGAAGAAGGAGGAGGAGGAGGAGAAGAAGGAGGAGGAGGCGAAGGAGAAGGAGAAGAAGAAGACCUGCUGCACUGCUUCACCAUUUGCAAGGCUGGGGGUCUCAACCUGGGUCCUUGCACAUUGUAAUAUGUGUGCUCAACCAGGUGUGCCACCCAGCCCCUCCUCUGUCUUCAUCAGGAGUGAUAAGGAAAGGAAAACACAAAGUAAAACUUGGAUUGGGUGUAUUGGAUUGUACCAAAGCAAUGGACUCUGAGGAAGGAGGGGAGAAAGAGGCUGGUGGGGGGCACCGGAUGCAUGAUGGUUGAAAAGAAUCUUAAGUUGUAAACAUGUAUUAAAGGGAGAUGAGAAACUGUGCCCAUAUAUCAACAAUUAUAGUCCAUCAACCCCCCAUAAAGUAAACAAGAAAAAGAAUCCUCAUGUAAUCUCAAUUUCUGCAAUAACCUUCUUCCAAAUAAACUGCUCUGUCAGUUUAGU